rnacentral:rRNA from 1 species
AGGGUGACAGGUGGUGCAUGGGUUGUCGUCAGCUCGUGUCGUGAGAUGUGGGUUAAGUCCCGCAACGAGCGCAACCCUCGCCUCUAGUUGCCAGCAUUCGGUUGGGCACUCUAGAGGGACUGCCGGCGACAAGUCGGAGGAAGGUGGGAUGACGUCAAAUCAUCAUGCCCCUUAUGACCUGGGCUACACACGUGCUACAAUGGGCGGUACAAAGGGCUGCGGACCCGCGAGGGGGAGCGAAUCCCAAAAAGCCGCUCUCAGUUCGGAUUGCAGGCUGCAACUCGCCUGCAUGAAGCCGGAAUCACUAGUAAUCGCGGAUCAGCAUGCCGCGGUGAAUACGUUCCCGGGCCUU